CAUAAUUUAUUUAUUUUUUGUGAAAAGGUCGAAAAAAAAAAAGAAGAAAGAAAGAAAGUUAUUCCCAAAACUACAAUCAUAAACAUAUUGAAAAAGUACGUAAACUUCACCCAAAUUUGAUUUGCCAUGUUUUGAACCCAAAAAAUCGAGCGGUUGUAUACACGCUCUAUACUAUAAAGUCUCUCACGAGUAUUCGGCCCUUUUUUGAACCAGCAUUUUUCACCCCUUUUUCAUGAAAUUCACCAUUUUCUUGGCGAAUUUGGUGUAGGAAAUUGGUAGAGCAGAGUGCAACAUUUGCCAGGAGGAUGAUUCUUUGAGAAGUUGGAGAGUCCGUGUGCUUGCAGCGAAAUUCUCAAGACAAGGGUGCAAGAACGCAAGAACGCAAGAACAAGAAGGUCAUCCUAUAUAGGGCUCAUACGCACAGCUCUUACCGAACCCUCAAUCAGGAGUGUGGAGAAACCCUAGUGGAGGUGGGCAUGAUGACAAAGCUCAUCCUGCUAUUCAUCAAACUAAAUUUUCUGCAGGGAAAUCCAGAUGGAGCCAGGAUCACGACGUUAGUACUGGUUCUGACACUAUUCUUAGUUGGUAGCAACUCAUAUAGGAGGAGUUGCAAUAAGCCCUUGUGACCUAUGUUGAACCCCUUUUCUACUACUGAAAUUUGUUCUUAGCAGAGAGUGUAUGAGUUGGUUGUUCGCCAUUUCUGGGCCUGUGUUUCUCAACCUGCUGUUGGGGCGUUGAGAUUGAUAUUGCUGGUGAAUCUUUUUCUGCAUGUUGGAGAGUGAUACUUGAAGGAGAUAUUACUGGUGAGAUUUGCCAUCAGGUACGUGUCACUCCCCCAGCUGGUUUCCAUAUUCUUUUGUAGUAUAAGAUGGCUGAAAGACACUCCCAUUUUUUUUUUCCAUUUAUGAAGAACUGAACUGGUAGGGGUCAAGUCAAUCACACCUAGGUUUAUUAGUAGUAUAUACUUCAUUCAAUUUACUUUGGUUGCUAUUAUGUUAUUAUAACCUUAAAUAGGGAAGAAGUGUCAAAAUUAUUAGACUUUAAUUGGGCAAGCUGUGUAACAUUAAAAAGUGUAAAAUGAUCAAGAAAAAGAUGCAUAAGCAUAUAGGGAACAUGAAACAUGUUAAAAAAACAAAGGAAAAAUGACUUACAACACAAAAAUUAUAAGAUAAUUCAAAUAAAUACUUCCAAACAGAAGAUAUUGGGUCCAGGCAGGGGGCGGGCCUAGGCUCGGCCGUGGUCUCGGGUCUGUACC